rnacentral:rRNA from 1 species
GACGAACGCUGGCGGCGUGCUUAACACAUGCAAGUCGAACGACGUGGCGAACGGGUGAGUAACGCGUAAUCAACCUGCCCCUCUGAGGGGCAAACCGAUGUAAACGGCAGUUAAAACCGCUUACUGAAGGAUGGGAUUGCGUUUGUUUAGCUAGUUGGGGGGGUAACGGCCCAACAAAGGGAUGAUCAGUAGCCGGUCUGGGAGGAUGAACGGCCACAUUGGGACUGAGACACGGCCCAGACUCCUACGGGAGGCAGCAGUGGGGAAUCUUCCGCAAUGGACGAAAGUCUGACGGAGCAACGCCGCGUGAGUGAUGCCGGCCUUCGGGUUGUAAAGCUCUGUUAAUCGGGACGCGGUACCGGAAUAGAAAGCCACGGCUAACUACGUGCCAGCAGCCGCGGUAAUAC